UGGCUAUGAUUACAAAAUAUCCGCGCUUCUGAGAUUUAUUCUGUGAAGUAAUCGGAAAACAAUGGUUGAAUUUCUUAAUAUGAGCCU
rfam:Brassica rapa chromosome A3, whole genome shotgun sequence.